rnacentral:rRNA from 1 species
GAUGAACGCUAGCGGCAGGCUUAAUACAUGCAAGUCGUGGGGCAGCAGGUUUGUAGCAAUACAGAUGCUGGCGACCGGCAAACGGGUGCGGAACACGUACACAACCUUCCUUUAAGUGGGGAAUAGCCCAGAGAAAUUUGGAUUAAUACCCCGUAACAUUAUGAUGUGGCAUCACAUUAUAAUUAUAGCUACGGCGCUUAAUGAUGGGUGUGCGGCUGAUUAGGUAGUUGGCGGGGUAACGGCCCACCAAGGCUGCGAUCAGUAACUGGUGUGAGAGCACGACCAGUCACACGGGCACUGAGACACGGGCCCGACUCCUACGGGAGGCAGCAGUAAGGAAUAUUGGGCAAUGGAGGAAACUCUGACCCAGCCAUGCCGCGUGGAGGAUGAAGGUCCUCUGGAUUGUAAACUUCUUUUAUAUGGGACGAAAAAGGGUCUUUCUAGGUCAACUGACGGUACCAUAUGAAUAAGCACCGGCUAACACCGUGCCAGCAGCCGCAGUAAUAC